rnacentral:lncRNA from 1 species
AGAUAAUGCAUAAUAUUUACAGCUCAAGAUCAGUGAAGGUAUAGUAACAGUAGUAAUAGUAAUGUUAAACAACUAUUAGUAUAUUUAUUUUUGUCAUAAAAUCUAAUUAAUAAAGCAAAGUUUAUUUUGAAUGCUAUAAUUAAUUUAUUGCUUUAGAAUCUCGAAAAGUGGGACACAGUCACGUUUGAAUGAAUGAGUACUGUCACUCCAUGUAUAUAACGGUCAGAUGUUUAUAAACAUUUACUUCAUCCCAAAGAGAUGAAGUAUGUUAUGUACCAACCUUCAAGAUUUCUGAUUGAUUGCUAAGAAUUCUGCAUCAUGUUCCAUCUAGCAGUAUGAUGUCACUUAUAUAGCAAGGUUUUUUAAUGAAUAUAAAUAUAUUCUCAGGACCACAAUGUAGAGAUCAACUAACACAAAUCUUUGAUUAAAAAUUUGUUUUGACCAAUCUCUACACUGUGAUCUAGGGUCUACAUCAGUGGUGUUCCUAGCAUUAGUGUCACUUGGUAUGGUAAUUCAUGUGACCCCUUCAUGGUGUCACCCGUUCAUAGUAUUCAUGAUGUCAUACCUUCUCUCUCAAUAUUAUAUAAAAUGUUUGAUUAUUAGAAAUUUAUAUAGCACAACUUCAAGCUAUUACUAUACUCAUGGAUUAACUAACAAUAUUAUCCCUUGCAAGUUUCUCAACAAGCUAGAAAUGAAUGAACAAUAUUAUUCCUUGCAAGUUUUUCAACAAAUUUUAGAAAGAGCUUACAAUUAUAAAAGUGGUAAAAAUGUAAUUUUUUAACAUUCAUUUGAAAAUAUUGGUGUUAUCUGAUGUUGGCUGC